rnacentral:rRNA from 1 species
AGUCAAUAGAUACCCCGGUAGUCCUAGCCGUAAACGAUACUCGCUAGGUGUCGGCCACGGUGCGACCGUUGUCGGUGCCGUAGGGAAAGCCGUGAAGCGAGCCACCUGGGAAGUACGGCCGCAAGGCUGAAACUUAAAGGAAUUGGCGGGGGAGCACCACAACGGGUGGAGCUUGCGGUUUAAUUGGAUUCAACGCCGGAAAUCUUACCGGGACCGACAGCAAUAUGAAGGCCAGGCUGAAGACUUUGCCGGAUUAGCUGAGAGGUGGUGCAUGGCCGUCGCCAGUUCGUACUGUGAAAGCAUCCUGUUAAGUCAGGCAACGAGCGAGACCCACGCCCACAGUUGCCAGCGUACUCUCUGGAGUGACGGGUACACUGUGGGGACCGCCGCUGCUAAAGCGGAGGAAGGAAUGGGCAACGGUAGGUCAGUAUGCCCCGAAUAUCCCGGGCUACACGCGAGCUACAAUGGUUGGUACAAUGGGUAUCUACCCCGAAAGGGGAUGGAAAUCUCCUAAAGCCAAUCUUAGUUCGGAUUGAGGGCUGCAACUCGCCCUC